GGUUAAAAAGCUCGUAGUUGGAUUUCUGUUGAGGAUGACCGGUCCGCUCUUUGAGCGCGUAUCUGGUUCAGCCUUGGCAUCCUCUUGGGGAACGCUACUGUGCUUGAUUGCAUGGGGCGGUAUUCAAGACUUUUACUUUGAGGAAAUUAGAGUGUUCACUGCAAGCGUUAGCAAUUGAAUACAUUAGCAUGGAAUAAUAAUAUAGGACCUUGGUACUAUUUUGUUGGUUUCUAGAACUAAGGUAAUGAUUAAUAGGGACAAUUGGGGGCAUUCGUAUUAACGCGUCAGAGGUGGAAUUCUUAGAUUGCGUUACGACGAACUACUGCGAAAGCAUUUGCCAAGGAUGUUUUCAUUGAUCAAGAACGAAAGUAUGGGGAUCGAAGACGCUUAGAUACCGUCGUAGUCUAUACCAUAAACUAUGCCAACUAGAGAUUGGAGGUCGUUCUCUUUAUGACUCCUUCAGCACCUUAUGAGAAAUCAAAGUCUUUGGGUUCCGGGGGGAGUAUGGUCGCAAGGCUGAAACUUAAAGGAAUUGACGGAAGGGCACCACCAGGAGUGGAGCCUGCGGCUUAAUUUGACUC
rnacentral:rRNA from 1 species